GAAUUUGUAAUGUUAUUAAUGCAGACAAAUAAUAUUGAAGUAUUCAUGUAGAAGAGGAUACCUGCUAUUGUUUCGUCCCAGUCGUCGCUAUACAAGGCAAAACAAAAGAGUAAGAAUCGGCAUCCUCAAGUAUGCAGGGAAGGAUUUCUGUGACGCACAGAAUAAACACGGAUACUUCAACCUGCGACCAGCACGACACUCCAACGAGGACACGGCGGUGGACGUCUGCCGGAUGUUUAGAAGCUCUCAAGCAGUUCCAUAAUCCUCUUCUGCUCGCUUUCUUUAAAUUCUUCACUCUUACCGUCACCAAUGCUUUCUGCAUAUUCUGAAACACGAGAGAGAAU